rnacentral:rRNA from 1 species
AGUGAAUCAUCGAGUCUUUGAACGCAGCUUGCACUCUAUGGUUUUUCUAUAGAGUACGCCUGCUUCAGUAUCAUCA